CUUGCCAAGUAUACGACUUUAUUUUUACACGUUAUGUGCAUCGUUGUCGGUCGUUCGGCUCUGUCUCGAGCAUCUUUUUAAAAAAAACAUACCGCGUGUUUGUUCUCGAAUAAGUGUAAUAUACACAGCCUAAAGUACUUACUCUUCUCUCUGUCUCAACUCUACUAAUAGAUCACAGGUAAUGUAGAAAAAACAUAUAUACACAGACACACACAUGAUUGUAUCGAAGUAUCAAACCAAAUGAAUUUGCUGUCGACUAAUCGAACGGUGUCGUCGAUGCUAUAUCUCCGUACAUAAAUGUACAUAUGUAUGCAUAGGUUACAUACGUACUAAGUAAUCAAUUAUAAUGUCAAUACGUCUUCGAAUAUCGUUAGCCGUUAAUAAUUCCUAACUAAUUGCAGCGAUUCAAUUAAUUAACACGAUUACAAAUUCUUUAAUGAGCCUAAUUUGCAUCGUACGCGUUUUUCAAUUAUAUCGCAUGUGUUAAUUUAUGCCGUUCCAAGUUCAAAUAUUACCGCAGACAGACGGUCUACACGAUGCUCGUUUCUUUUUAUUGUUGCCGAAAUACCUACAUUUCAGUGUAACACAUGAAACAAAAUUUUUCAAGCUGAAAUCGAAGUCGAAAUCGAGGCAAUAAUAUGACUGGAAAUCAACGAAUACAGACAAACUGGGCAUACACAAACCGAUCACUAAAUUUAAUCAAUAAAUACCUGAUUUAUUAUUGAAAAAUAAUCGAGUUUCGAUAUAAUGGUCCUAAAUGAGAAAUCGUUUCACGUUCAAAUAUCGUUCGAUGCGAUGCAUUCGCAUCCUCAUCCCAGGAUUCAAACGCUUGGUGUAAUAAGCUAAUCACAGCAUUACACGAGAAAAUACCAUCAUUUUGUUUACCGCACAGGAUGGAAAAUCAUCAACGGAUUAAUCGUCGAAUGUCCUCUGCAGAGCCGCAGAGGACUUCAAAAGUUCAAUACAUCCAAGUCGAGUUCAAAAAAUACCAGAUGUUCAAAUAACCACAUGCAAGGUCCCUGGCACAUUUAUAUUAUCACUGGGUAAAAAGUUGAUGGUAGGUAGGUAGUGUAGGUACAGAAACAGAUGAAAUACCUACCAUACGAGAGGAUGAACGAUAAAUAGCUGAAAAUUUCGAAUUCGAUGCAACAAAUCUUUACUAUAAACGAAGAGAAUGGAGCGCGAAUCAAGCCCAAAACAGAUUAAGAUGACCGGAGGAAAAUCACUAGUAACGGAGCAUCUGUUCCAAACAUCACUGAAAUUCUUACGCAGAAAUGCCAAUUUUCAGGUACGAGAAAGCUAAUUUACAAAUUCAAAUACAUAAAUUUGAUCAAAGCGAUUGAAUUCGAAAAUUUAUGCAAAUUUUUUCAAAUAAAGUUUGACUUAUGAAUAUGAAAAUUAUCAUUCAAGCGAUUCUGUAAGCGGUUAAUUGUUUACAUUUUAAACGCCUUCGUGACGAAUAUUAUAACAUCGUUUUCACUCCAUUCAAAAUAUGAUAAUUAAUUUUUAUAUUCGCACCUGAAUUUUAUUUGCAGAGUAGAAUGAAUAAAUUAAAUUAGUCUGAUCAUAAAAUGAGGAGUGGAAUACCAUAGUGUAGGUAAUGAGUGCUUUAUUCCAAUAUUUGGAAAAUCGUAUAAAAGUGCGUCAAAAACUUCCUUAAGACGCACAAGAUUCUCCUCAGCGUCGUCGGCGAGCCUUAACAUUACCAGCUUGUGCGCCCCCUAGGCGUUUUUGAUGCAGUUAGCGAUUUUCUAAAAAGUAGGAAAAAACACUUGUAAACCCACAUAUUUAACUUCUUCAAAAAAACGUAAUCUGGAAUUUUUUACAUAUUGAAAAAUUAUCAAUGUAACGCUUUCAAGUAAGCUCAUCAUAAGGAGUAAGAUUACGCAAAACGUGAUUCAAGAGUCAAGAUAUUUUGAUCGGUUCCAGGCAUCGACAAUAUCGACAUCUUUAAUACACGUAGUAAGAAUUGAUCUUCUUGUCGGCUCGAUCUUCAACAAAUUCACGUAGCACAUCAUCCGAAGUUUCAGCUAAUACAAGAACCUAGCGCUCGAAGCCGGCAACAUGCCGGCAAAACACUACCACCACCGCUAUCUUCACCUUCAUCAUCUCCAGCAUCCGAACAGAUAUAUAAAAUAUAGCCUGCUAGUUCUUCGCAUACACGACGAAGAGAAGAGAAGAGAACUGAACUGAACUGAACACAACCAGGCGGCGAUGGCACACCCGCACCCGCAAUAUACGCACCAUUCUCCUCUGCGAGCAGCGAGCACCACCGUUACUCAGUAGUCUCCAUCCAUUCUCUUCGUCUUCUAUACAUACACACGAAUACACGAUGGGUCGUGUUGUAGUAUUCAACACAUAUACAGUAUACACGUAUCCACCACGUACUUUCUCUUUUCGCCCUCUCGUCGCCGCCACUCAGCUCUGGUUCGAGCCCAACGCUCUUCAAAAAUACUAAAAGGGGGAUUCGCGUAGUUUAUAAUAUUUCAGCAUCCCGUGUUAAAUUCGCCAUUUGCAUUUUACCGUCUUUCAAAGGCCUGCCUAUUCCAAUAAUUGCCUUUUCUCUACUUUUAACAAAAACCGUCUCUCUAUCUCGCUUUUGCUUUUCCAUUCUCCAGCAACGUAAAUUGAGGCGCGCGAAUUCGCUGUUUUUUUUUCCUACUCGUUUUCUUUCUUUCACACACUUCGUUGUACGAGUAUCUUGUUUUUCUUUUCUUUUCAACGCGCGCCGUGGCGCUUCUGCGAAUAAUCUAUUUCUCACACAAACGAUUCUUUUUCCCUUAUGUGUACAUUAUAUUAGAAUAAAAGAAAAGAGAUUAUAACGUUAAAAUUUCAACUUUUCCAUUUUCAUUGCUUUAAAACAACUGCAAGGGUGCCCAAUACCUUACUUAUACCUACACCUGCACAACUUACACAACCACACGUAGAUAAGUUAACGUAUUAUAUGUACACACAUCGAAUGUAAUUACGUAAAGUCGUUAUAAUAAAAUUGCGAAAAUC